ensembl:lncRNA
UCAAAAAGUUGUAUCUCGGCCAAAUAUUGUCAGAUCCUAACAAACCAUACAUCAAUGAAAAGAUUAUCAGUAAUGUGUAAUGCUAAACUAUGUCAAGAUUAACAGGUUUAUUGUGCUUUAUGAUCCAAUCAGCAUUGACAACAGACUCAAGUGGGUGCUUAAAUGAGUCUACUUCAAGGGUGUCCAAUCCUGCUCCUGGAGGGCCACUUUCCUGGCCCUGAAGGGCACUUUAGAGUGGGAAGGGCACUUUAGAGUGGGAACAGUCUUGACCAUCAUAUUGAAUGGUUGUUCCAAACCAAAGUGCGUAAAACUGGCCACCUCAAACAGCCCUUCGCAAUGAAGGAUUGUGAAGGGUACACUUGGUUCAGGUGUUCAGGAGCAGAACUGGACUCCCCUGAUCAACAAUGACUAGUGUUGUGUUUUAAUUGGAUUAAAGGUAAACUGUGUGAAAUAGUGUAGAAACAGGUAUAUAGCUGGAGGUGGAGAAGAAGUUCUUAUUAGUUUACUGCACUAAUCUCUUUCAGUGCAAAACCCAGGUCUGAAUAAGUCAGCCAAGGCUUUGGUAGCAAUGAUGAUAAUUUCACUCACACUGGUUUCUUUGCUCUGCUUUGGAUUUUCUUGGAAGAGAAGGGAUGAGAAGCUGAAGUCUCUGAACAUCUCAGCGAUUGUUCUGCCCCCCAGGGUGGUUGUGAGUAAGAAAGGCAGAGUCACCAUCAGUGUGGAAGGCAGGUUGGCAGAGAGAGUACAGACCACAUGGUUUCUCAAUGAUGUCCCCAUUACAGACACUGCAUACAGAGAGAAAAAAUAUGGUCCUUUUUGCUUGGCAGCCUAUACUCCUCACAGCUCUCAUGUGUCUUUGGUGUCGGAGAAAAGCUCUCUGCUGCCCUCUGCUGCUGCCUCAGGAUAUUACAAGCUGCACACUCAGAUGUUGCCAUGCUUGUUCUCCUGCUCCAUGAAGCAGCUGUUCUCCUCCGUCACAUUUAUAACAAACCUGUCCAUUCACAAGGGUGCAGUUUUCAAAUGCCACAUCUCGUAUAAGGGCAAAGACAAGCUUGUGGCCAAGAGAGUUUCCGACAAGUUUACUAUUCAAGCACCACCUGAAGUUUCAUUGAUCCAGUUCUCAGAGUCAAAUGAGGAAGGAGGCGUUGUGACCAUGAUGGCCCAGGCCUCUGGCUUUCAUCCGGACAUCACCACCUUCCGCUGGUUCUGUGAGGGCAGCGAGCUGAGCCCCGUGUCUGUCCCGCAGGUGCUGGCGGCCCCUCGGCCAGAUGCUGCAGGCUUCUUCUCUUCUUCUGCAGGCCCCCGCCGCAGAGCUGGAGCGAGGGGAGACCCAGGUUUUCACAUGACGUUUCAUGUCGGACCACAUGCCUGGCCAGAAUGCUACUUCUUGGAGUCGUUUGUACGUUUUAUAGAUUCCUCCAUGGCCACUAAGACAACUGGAAUGGUAGUGCUUCAGCAAAGAGGGACGAAGACUGCUGGGAACGUAGACUCGGUAGUGCAUCUGGUUAUCUGGAAGGUAAGUUUUCUGAUAUAA